GGGGCUGACCGGUUUUGACAGCGUGUAGAAAAGGUGGGUAAGCGUGCAGAGCCAUGAUAUCUAUGCUCUUUAAUAUCCGGUAUCGACCUUUCUAAAUGGCGAAAACAACUACGCUCUUGCUGCCUGAUUGAAGUACAGUAGAUCAGCUUAAUCGCCGCAACAGUUGCAGCGACAAGACAUCGCCCGAUUGUCCUUUUUCCGAGACGGAUCGAACAGGCGGUGCAGGUAAAUCGGAAAUAGGCGGCUUAACGCUCCUGACAGCCGCCGAAAUCUUCAGGAGUUAAGGUUGCGGUUGGUAGUUUCAGGCCUGCCACAACUCGAAAACCAACUUGAAACUACGCACGUAGAAAGCUCAUUGAUUCCGCGUUUGGACGAGGGUUCGAAUCCCUCCAGCUCCACAA
rnacentral:tmRNA from 1 species